rnacentral:sRNA from 1 species
UAGCUUUUAUGUGUUGAUGCAUUGCCACUUUAAAUACUUUUUUGAGUUCUGUCGUUCUAAAUUAUAUUUGCAUCAGGCAUUGCACUGACUUGCACGCAGAUGUGAUAAAUGAGGCACCUGCUGGCUUGCAAAGAUUGUAGUGUUGUACAUUUCAUAUGUAUAUAUCUACAUGAUAUUGUGCUUUAUUGCAGAAAAUCUGUCUAAUAGGAAUUGUGUAUACUAAUCUAACUAGGAUCUGACUUUUGACAUUUGCACAAUUAUUGGGAAUACUAAAGAUGCCUCUGUGUUUCGAGGUUGCUGCCUCAAGCCUGCAACAAGCCCGAAUCACAUUCUCCUAGAAUGCUCCACCAGCAUGACUUUGUCCAAAAUUAAUGUCCCAACAUUAAUUGCACUAGCAAGCUUGAACCAAGAAGCUGCCUUAUAAAAUUCUACCUGUUUCAGCCGGCCUCAUAAUAUUGUGCAAAUUUGAAGUUGUUCCUGAAGUGGCCAAAACACCCCCGUAAACUAGGUUUGAUAUUUAAUGGCAGGUGAGCUUCAAGUCUGCUGACAUGAACAUGAGAUGUAAAUAUACUCCUUAACAUCGACUAAAAGGGGGGACAUUCCUAUGCACACAUGCUUCAGGUGCACUUUGUGCACAACAACUAACCAAUGUCACCAGAAAAUCUUAAAUAAAAUUGUUCAUUUACUUCUAAUCUUACUCCACCUAUAUAUAAGUUUUGGAAUUCAAAUCCAUUAAAUAUCAGCGGUUACCAAAAGG